UGGGAGGAUUGCUUGAUCCAGGGAAGUGGAAGUUAUAGUGAGCUGAGAUCGCACCACUGCACUCCAGCCUGUGCGACGAAACCAGACCUCAGCUCAAAAAUUAAAUAAAUAAAAGGGACAAAUAUUUUGUGAUUCCACUUGUAUGACAUACCUAGAAUAGUCAUUCUUAGAGAUAGAAAGUAGAAUGGUGGUGGCCAGGGGCUAGGGAGAGGGGAAUGGGAAGUUAUUGCUUAAUGGGUACAGAGUUUCAAUUUGGGAACAUGAAAAAGUUCUGCAGAUAGAUGGUAGUGAUGGUUGCACAACAAUGUGAAUGUAUUCAAUGUCACUCAACUAUAUGCUUAAAAAUAAUUAAAUUGGUGAAUUUUUAUGUUUACGUAUAUUUUACCACAAUUCUUUUUUUCUUUGAGACGGAGUUUCACUCUUGUUGCUCAUGCUGGAGUGCGAUGGCAUGAUUUCGGCUCAAUGGAACCUCUGCCUUCUAGGUUCAAGUGAUUCUCCUGCCUCAGCCUCCUGAGUAGUUGGGAUUAUAGGCGCCCACCAUCAUACCUGGCUAAUUUUUUGUAUUUUUUAGUAGAGACGGGGUUACAGCAUGUUGACCAAGCUGGUCUUGAACUCCUGACCUCAGGUGAUCUGCCCACCUCAACCUUCCAGAGUGCUGGGAUUACAGGCGUGAGCCACUAUGCCUGGCCUACCACAAUUUUUUAAAAUGGAACAUCAGUUCAUGGAUCUGAGAAUCUGAGUUUAGGGGAUCGGAGGAGGAGGGUGGGGUGAAAAUAGAGCAGUGAUGAAACUUCUCUGGUAAAUGACCUCUCUGCCUUCCUCCCUCCCUUUUUGCCUGCUACACAGGCUGAGCCGGGUCCUAUUUUGGGGGCAAAUGCAUGUCCUUAUGUGCACUCAGAGAUGAAUAAGACAGAGCACCUCUCCUGGAGGAGCCAGUGCUACAGAUAAGUCAGGGAGGAAGUAUGGGAGCUAAUUUCACAGGUGGAAUAAUAAGGGAGAUCAUACAUCAUGUCUCUAAAUCUUCCCAUUAUUCUCCUUCCCCUCUGACCCCCAUGCAUGCUUCUGAGUCUCCUUGAGAGGAAAACCCAUAAUAUUUCUGGAGUCAAGAUUAGAUGAGAAGAUUUAAUAGCAUUAGGAGAAAAUCUGGGUCCAAUUAUGAAGGUUUAUAUGGAGCCUUUACAUUUCAUACUUGGAAUUAAGGCCAGUGAAUCCUCCAGAUGUUUUCAAAUAAACCAGACUAUCACAGAGACAGCAGAAGAGUAAUUGGAAAUGGACUGAGAGAGACGUUGAGCAUAAGCAGUCUGAGGUAACAGUUUAAGCAAGCUCACAAUAUCCCUUGCAGAAAAUCUAUUAGCAAUAGAUGUGUAUGUCAAAGAAUCUUAGAAUUUGGGAGCUUAACAGGACUUGCCUUUGCAGUUGCUAAGUCUGUUUCCUCAUUUUACAGUUGAGGAAACUGAAGUGCACAGAGAUUAAGUGGUGUGAAACUUCACACAGGAAAAUUAUGUUCUACCUGGCACUAUAGUCCUGUGCUUUGACUUUUAGUUGAGUAAGGGCUCUUGAUUUUCUGCUCACCUAUUGCUUUCCUUCAAUAAAAUGUUCUAACCUUAUAUUUUUUAUUAUUAUUUUUUUGAGACGGAGUCUCACUCUUAUCGCCCAGACUGGAGUGCAGUGGCAUGAUCUCAGCUCACUGCAACCUCUGCCACCAAAGUUCAAGCCAUUCUCCUGCCUCUGCCUCCCGAGUAGCUGGGAUUACAGGCGCCUGCCACCACGCCCUGCUAAUUUUUGUAGUUUUAGUAUGGACGGGGUUUCACCAUUUUGGCCAGGCUGGUCUUGAACUCCUGACCUUGUGAUCCACCUGCCUCGGCCUCCCAAAGUGCUGGGAUACUAGGUGUGAGCCACCGCGCCUGGCCUCUAACCUUGUAUUUUAUAAGUAGGAUUUUCUCUUCUAGUAGUGGAAUGAGUCAGAGAGGGAGAAGCAAGUCCUUGCAAAUGAUAAAUAUAUAUUGCUAUGGGUUGAAUUCUGUCCCUCCAAGGGAAUGUUGAAGUCCUUACGCUAGUAUCUCAGAAUAUGACUUUAUUUGGAAACCGGCUCAUUGCAGAUAUCAGUUAAGAUAUGAUGGGUUCUUUUUUCUGUUUGUUUGAGACAGAGUCUUGCUCUGUUGCCCAGGCUGGAGUGCAGUGGCUCGAUCUUGGCUCACUGCAACCUCUGUCUCCUGGGUUCAAGUGAUUCUUCUGCCUCAGCCUCCCAAGUAGCUGGGACUACAGGCACGUGCCACCACGCUCAGCUAAUUUUUGUAUUUUUAAUAGAGACGGGGUUUCACCAUAUUGGCCAGGCUGGUCUCAAACUCCUGACCUCAGGUGAUCCAUGUGUCUCUGCCUCCCAAAGUGCUAAGAUUACAGGUGUGAGCCACCAUGCCCAGCCUGAUGGGUUCUGGAUUCAAUAUGACUGGUGGCCUCAUGGGAGGAAGAAUAAGACACACAGGGAGAAGAUGUAGCCAUGUGAUGACAGAGGCAGAGGUUGGAGUGAUGCAUCGACAAACCAAGGAUUGCCAAGAACCUGCAGAAGCCAGGAAGAGGCAGGGAAGGGUUCUUUCCUAAAGGCAUCAGAGAGCAUGAACCUGCCAACAUCUUGAUCUCGGACUUCUAGCCUCCAAAACUGUGAGAAAAGAAAUUCUUGCUGUUUCAAGUCACUCCACUUUUUGGUAAUUUGUUGUGGCAGCCCUAGGAAAUGAAUACAGUACAUUAAUGUUGACAGCAUGUGAGUUUCCUUGGGCCAAAAGAGGUGGGUUCCAUCAGGCCUUGGGGUAGAGGCAGUUAUGAAGCAAAAGUUGGGCUGGGCUCGAAUAUUUAGUAGUAUUAAGCCCCAAAGUUCAAGCAGCCAGCAUGUCCUUAUCAGAGUCUAAUCUGGGAUACUGACAAUGGAUGAUGAACAGAAUCAGAAGCAAAGGUGGAAGAAAUAUUUGUCUUCCCAUUUGAAGAAGUUGCAGUUCCAAAUCUUUGAUUCAGCAAUUCCGAUUAGGAUAUAGAAUUUUAUGGUUUAUGCAAGUUGCAUCUCUCAGGUACACAUCGCUGACAUGAAGAGCAGCAAGUUAUCUUCCUUGUUCUCACCAAACUCCUCCUACCCCAUAUCCAGUCACAGACUAAUAUAUGUUCAAAAGCCAGAAAAGACUGUAAGGUGGUUGUUAAAACCUCACUCACUUUGGAAUCUUGCUGGACCACUGCAGGCUGACGGCAGUCCAGAGAGAUGUGCCCAUUUACUCGGUGUUAAGUCUUUGAAUUAGAAUCUCUGCAGGAAACAGGUGUACAUUCUAAAUGAGGAAUUGAGUAAAGUUUCAUGAACGGACAGUUUACAGAGGGGUGGGCAGGACUCAGGGAAGACAACAAGGUAUGGUGCCUAGGGCUAGCCAUUGCAGGGAGCAUUCACCUUUUAGUUAGACCUAAAAGGGCAAGGAAGGGAGGAGUGGCUAUAUGAAGAAGGCCACCUGACAGGAGCUGUGGUCUUUUGUAGAGGAACACAAUCAACUCAUGGAGAUGCAGCAGAGAGGGAACCACCUCACUAACAGCGUGACUUCAUUCCCCUCCUGUCCUCCUAAAUUUAGUCCAUGCUGCCUAUUGUCCAAUCCCAACCAAAGACUGAAAGACAAGGAAGCUCUUCAUACUUAAUGGUGAUAGACUGAAAGCUUUCCGCCUAAGAGCAAAAACAAUAUAAGGAUGCCUGCUUUCAUCACUGCUACUCCACAUAGUACUGGGAGUUCUAGCCAGAGCAGUUUGGGAAGAAAAAGUAAAACACUCUCAUCAUUUGGAAUCACAAUAAUCAACUAAAUUGGAACGGAAGAAAUUAAUAUUUACAGUUGCAGAAGACAGGAUUUAACAUAUAGAAAAUCCCAGGGAAUACACAAAAAAAUCUAUUAGAUCUAGUAAAUUGAUUUAGCAAAUUUCUAGGGUACAAGAUCAACACACAAAAACCAGCUGUUUCUGUACAUCACCAAGGAACAAUUCCCCCCCCCAAAAAAUUCCAUUUAUAAUAGCAUCCAGAAGAUUCAAAUACAAUUCUUAUGAAUUGUAUUCUGAUUGGGAUAUAGAGUUUUAUGGUUUAUGCAAGUUGCAUCUCUCAGGUAUGCAUUUGAUCAGAGCAUUCACCAAGGAAGGUGAAGGACUUGUACACUGAAAAGUAUAAAACUACUGAAUAAAAUUUAAAAAGACCCAACUUAAUAUGAAAUUCCAUGGUUAUGUAUUAGAAAACUUAAUAUUGUUAAGAUGGCAGUACUCCCAAAAUGACCUACAGAUUCAAUGCAAUCCCUAUAAAAAUUUUAAUGGCCAUUUUUGCGUAAAUGGAAAGGUUGAUCCUCAAAUUCACACAGAAUUGCAUGAGGCCCAAAACAGCCAAAACAAUAUUGAAAAAGAGAAAUAAAGUACUGCAAGCCUACAAAAAACAGUGUGGUGCUGUCAUAAGGAUAGACAUAUAUAUCAACAGAAUAGAGUUCAGAGUCCAGAAAUAAACUCAAACACCUAUGGUGAGUUGAUUUAUUAACAAGGGUGCCAAGAACAUUCAAUGGGGAAGAAACAGUGUCUUCAGAAAAUGGUGCUGGAACUGGAAAACGACAUGCAAAAGAAUAAAGUUGGUCCCCUACCUCACUCCAUAUACAAAGAUUAACUCAAAUGGAUCAAUUACCUAUAUAUAAGAGCCAAAAGUAUAAAACUAUUAGAAGAAAACAGGGGUAAAUCUUUAUGAGCUUGGAUUUGGCAUUGGAUUCUUAGAACUACCUCUAAAGCACAAGCAACAAAAGAAAAAUAGAUCAAUUAGAUUUCACAAAAAUUAAAACCUUUGCAAAUCAAAGGAUAUUAUCAAUAGAGUGAAAAGCAACCUACAGAAUGGGAGAAAAUAUUUACAAAUCAUAUCUCAUAAGGGUUUAGUAUUCAGAAUAUAUAAAAAAUGCUCAGCCAGGUGCAGUGGCUUGCUCCUGUAAUCCCAGCACUUUGGGAGGCUGAGGCAGGCUCAUCACUUGAGUCCAGGAGUUGGAGAUCAGCCUGGGCAACAUGGCAAAACCUUGUCUUUACAAAAAAUAUAAAAAUUAGCUGAACGUGGUGGUUCACACCUGAACUCUCACCUAUUCAGGAGGCUGAGGUAGGAGGAUUGAUUGAGCCCCAGAGGCAAAGGUUGCAGGGAGCCGAGAUCACACUACUGCACUCCAGCUUGGGUGACAGAGCAAGACCCUGUCUCAAAAAAAAAAAAAAA
ensembl:lncRNA